UGUACACGCUGUGACUAGCAUAUCAAUAAGCGGAGGAAAAGAAACUAACAAGGAUUCCCUCAGUAACGGCGAGUGAAGCGGGAAGAGCUCAAAUUUGAAAUCUUCAAGGUUUUACCUUGACGAAUUGUAGUUUAAAGAAGUGUUUUCUGCUGAAGUUUUGGUAAAAGUUCUUUGGAAUAGGACAUCAUAGAGGGUGAGAAUCCCGUAUUUGACCAUUAUUUUCAGCUUUGUGAUACACUUUCAAAGAGUCGGAUUGUUUGGGAAUGCAGUCCAAAAUGGGUGGUAAAUUUCAUCUAAGCUAAAUAUUGGCGAGAGACCGAUAGCGAACAAGUACCGUGAGGGAAAGAUGAAAAGAACUUUGAAAAGAGAGUUAAACAGUACGUGAAAUUGUCAAAAGGGAAGCGUUUGACACCAGUGUUGUUUUCUCGAAAAUCAAUUAAAAAUGGCUCGAUUUUGUAUUGCUGAGACCUUAAAAGCUCACUGUACAUUUUUCGUGUCUUUUUUAAUGCACCUUUCGUUUAACAAGUCAACAUCAGUUUCUUUUGUUGUAAAAGGGUCAUUGGAAGGUGGCUUUCUUUUCGGAGAAAGUGUUUAUAGCCUUUGGCCUCUGCAAUCGGAGAGACUGAGGUCUGCAGCGUAGACUCUUCGGGGUUAGAUACAUUUGUGCUAAGUUAUAGCUUUUUAUAGACAACUUGUUGACUAUAAUUAGUCUUGUAGCUUACUCGCUUAUGCUAUUUUACCUACGCUUAGGAUGUUGAACUACUGAGACAUAGA
rnacentral:rRNA from 1 species